UUCUUGUGGAUGGAGAUCUGGGACCUCAAGAAGCUAUUGUUUAUCCUGGGCUUGCUCUUUACCAAGCAACUGCAGGAUAUGUAAACCCUGCAUUACACAAGACUGAGAUUAAUAUGGAGGCUAAUAUGUAUGGAUGAUGUUCUUUAGCCUUCAAACUUUUGCCCAAGUCAAUGACCAGUUUUGAUUGUCCAGAAAUGCGAGCAGCAAGUUAUGGAAUUGAAGCUCAGUUCCAGCUUCCUGUUCUGGUGGAUGAUUUUAUGCAAACAUCUCAUCCCACAGAUAGUCUCUUUAACAGGCCUGGUUUCCAGUGCUUUAAUUUCCAACCAGCGCAUGAUGCAGGUCCUUGGAUCGAUGAAAUGCCGGUACAGGAUCUAUGAAGACUUUGAUGCGAAGAAGGAAGCAAAAUCCCAAAAUCAAACCUUUGCCACCUUCCAAGAGGUUAAGGCUUGAGGCACAGAGAGUUUUGAAAGAAAGGGUCCAGGAUAUUGCAGAUAAGAAAGGCAUCAAGCUGCGGUUUUGUAAUCUCAAGGAAUGUGAAAGUCACAUUCACAGUGUAGAUAGCCCAUGUGCAAAAUAUACGGGUGGAGAUAGGGUGGCCGCUUGGUGUUCCAUUUGUUCAUCCCCAUGAUUUACCUAAUAAGGCAAAGCUGGGUUUUCUUGAAGCAUAUGAACCUGGUUGGACAGAAGCCCAUCAAAACUCAGACAGGCUAGUCAACACUAGGCUAACUUUAACUGUAACUCUCCUUUUGCAAGUUUCAUGUCCAUAUGCAUAUUCUACUUUUUAUUUAAAACUGUUAAACGGUUGUAGCGUAUCUAAAGCUAAGAAUAUGCAUAUUUUUUCAGGGUGAUGAAAAGAUUAAGGGAAGUUGAAGCUUAACAUAAAUAAUUAAUUCACAUGGUUGUAAUUUAACCAAAUUAUC